AUGAGCUAUUUCAACUUCACCGACAAUGAUGAGAUUCCAUUCUUUGGGACUCAUGACCCCGAAGAGUACCUCGAGUGGGAGCGCAAGAUGGACGAAUACCUCAAGCUACACCAAGUUCCCUCCGAAGAUCAAGUGAAGUGCGCCACAAGUACCUUCCACGACUACGCAUCGACAUGGUGGCUUCAUAGACCUUCGACAAGCUUCACCAUGACGUGGCCCAUGAUGAAGAAAGCUAUGAGGCGAGAAUUUGUGCCUUCCACCUACACAAAACAUCUUCAACGCCAAUUGGAGAACACCAUACAAGGAUCCAAGUCCCUCGACGAGUACCCGAAGGACAUGAAGAAAGCCUUACGGUGA
rnacentral:rRNA from 1 species